AUCAUGACUGUGCCGGGAAUUUUUUUUUUUWAAAUAUAGAUAUUUAUUUUAAAAAAACAGAGAGAAACGCAUGCAAACAGAAACGUGCACAUACCACGUAACCACCCGAGGAGAACCUGGCAGCCUCUCUCUUCUUCUGCCAAGUUAUCAUUGAGAAAACAGACAGGCAUCAUGACGUCCUGGGUCACAGGGAGUGCGGACCGACGCUACCAAGAGAAAAGGGAGGCGCCUCAGCGCUCCGGCUAGCCGCGGGCGCCCCUCUGCCCCUCGCAGCCUGGCUCGAUCGAAAUGCAGACUGCCAACAGGAUAUGAAGCAUAGCAAAACUUGUAUUCCUGUUCUGAGAGACACUUACAUGAGCUGACAAUCUACUGGUUCAUCAAUGAAACAAUAUUAAAUUAUGAAGAUGUAAGGAAAAAAUCCUACGCUAACAGUGUUGCAGUUUGCAAGGUAAGCUGUCCCCUACAAGGUAGGAGAUAUUAAUGUUCUUUAAAAAUCUACACAAUACCAUGCC
rnacentral:lncRNA from 1 species